CUAAUCAAAGCUAAAGGAUAGUUAUCCCAAAGCCAGGGACAUGGCUGAAAGGUCCUGAAACCAGUGCUGGCAGCCCAGUUUACCAGUUCCUAAUCUAUUUAACCAAUCUGCCUGGAAACACUGUGAAAGAAAAUGUAAGUGAGGAUGAGGAGACUCAAGUUCUAAUUACACAUUUUUUUCUCUUCUGCAGGCUUUUUUUCCCUAAUUAAAAAAAAAAAAAAAAAAAAGGUUCUCUUGAGCUCCAAGCAGCUGCAGCAUCUUUCCCAGAUCCCAGCCCACCUCUCUGCACCAGCUGCCGAGGGAGUUACACAGCAGCCUCUGGACACCAAUGGCCCACGGGGGAGGAGGAGAAGCCACAGGAGCUCCUGUACCUGCUUGCCCUGGGGCAGGAGGUUCAGCGUGCCGUACACCACCACGCUGCUCUCCGUGGACA